CUCACUGCUCCCGCCGCCGCAUACUUAACCGCCGCGGCUGCUAUAGCUACGGGGAGCCAAGGCAACCAGCUCUCGCGACACUUUCCUCAACUAUGGCGAGAACAGGCGAAGAGAGACUCUCGCAAGAAAGGGCAUGAGUGCAGUGGUGGUGUCAUAGCUCACUGCAACCUCAAACUCCCGGGCUCAAGCAAUCCUCCUACCUCAUUCAGCCUCCCAAGCCAGCACGUCCAGCAGUCUCACUAUGUUGCUCAGCCUGGUCUCAAACUCCUGACCUCAAGCGAUCUUCCCACCUUGGCUUUCCAAAGUGCUAGGAUUACAAGAGUGAGCCACCAUACUCGGCCUUACACUUCUAACCAAGCUCCUAGGAGAUACUGAUUCUGCCAAUCCAUAGGCCACAUUUUGAUUAGUAGUAUUCCCUGAGAUUCCCCAGUGAGAUUCUGCCCCAAUUGCCCAAAGAACCUUUUAUUGGCUUUCCUCUCACUCUCUUAUACUGCUUAGAUUUCUGGGAUCACCUCCCAGAUAAACUACUUGCAUCCAAAUCUUUGUUUCAGGGUCUGUUUGGGGGGAAAUCCAAACUAUAACAACCUUCUUUUUAGAAAAAUGCUCAUAGCAAUAGAGUUUUGUAUACAAGUUUAGAGGAGAUAUGAAUGCCUCAAAAUUCAUUCUUUAGGUUAUAAACAAAGAUGAGCAAGAUAAAUGUCAUGUAACCCAACGUCCACUAAAAUUUGGUCAGUCUAAUGCAGGUCUGGCAACUUAAUCUAACCAUCAACAACAGUUCAUGGCGUUGGCUGAAUUCAGUCAACUCUCCUUACAAGUUGUUUUCCCAGACCCUAUUAACAUCUCUUUGUUCUUCCUGGUCUGCAUCACUCUUACUUUAUGGAAUGUGGGAGUAAGCCUGUGACUCUAGAGAGACCUCAUGCUUUAAAUCAAUAAAAAGAAUGUUGCUCAUUCCUGGUGGGCUCUCAUCAUUUCUUCCCAAUCACAGUGCUUUCUGGGCAUCACUGCAAUGCCCCAUAAUCCUUAGAUCUUUUCUUGCUGUAGCUACACAGAGCCAGGUGUACUACAACUGUAGCUGAUUUAUCCCAUUCCCUUCUGGAUUCCACAUGGCUCCCUAUUCUAUUUCAUCCUUUUGGGAAUCUGUUACCUUUGAUACAUAUAUCCCAAAACCCCCUCUGGUGUCAUCUGGAAACUUUAUGGCAUGCUCUAGUUCUGUGAAAAUUAGGGUAACCCUGAUUAUCUCAGCUUCUAAUCAACUACAUAAAGAGCUAACACCAGGGUCACCAAAACCUGUUUCCUAACUGCAAUGCACAGUAGCUUUCUAGCUUUGCCCACGUAUGGGCCAGGACAUGUGUUUGUGCAUGAUUAUUUGUCUCAUGUACUGUUGAAUAAACAUGUCUUUGUAUAUACC